NNNNNNNNNNNNNNNNNNNNNNNNNNNNNNNNNNNNNNNNNNNNNNNNNNNNNNNNNNNNNUGUUUAUGCGUUUUUAUACGCUUCUAUGCAUGUUUAAGUAUAAACUUAUGUGUAUAUAAAAUAAGUUGAUAAAUUUUAUAAUUAUUUUGUGUUUUUCAUUUUAUUUUUUUUAGUCUUUUUUGUGUUAAUACAUAAUACCUACAAUACAGUUGUAAAUAGUGUGUACCUAUGUAAUUAUAUGUAUGUAUGUGUCGCAUUCUUAUGUAAGAUUUUGCAUGUAUUAAUAUGUAAAAAAAAAAAAAAAAAAAAAAAAAAUAGUUUGAAAAUAAAAAGUUAAAAAUAUUGUUAUUGAGUUCAUUGAAACAAAAAAAAAAAAAAAAAAAAAAAAAAAAAUUUAUAAUAGAGUUAAAAAUAGUUACCUAGUUGAAGCAUCAUAUAUUUGUAUUUAUGAGCAUAUAUGUAUAGAUAAAAUAUAUAGAUAUAUUUAUAUAUUUAUAUAUGUAUUAACUCGUAUAACAUCAUGUUUGUUAGAAACGAUAAUACAAAUAAUAGUGAAAAUAAAAUAGUUGAAAGUUUUCAAAAUUUUAGCAAUUUAUUAUUACUACAUAACUACAAAGAUAGUGAGAACAAAAGCGGAAAUAUUGAAAAAAAAAUUGAAACAAGCGAAAAAAAAAUUGAAACAAGCGAAAACAAAAUUGAAAUAAGCGAAAACAAAAUUGAAAUAAGCGAAAACAAAAUUGAAACAAGCGAAAACAAAAUUGAAACAAACGAAAACAAAAUUGAAACAAACGAAAACAAAAUUGAAACAAACGAAAACAAAAUUGAAACAAGUAAAGAACAAAAUUUAUGUUUUGUUAAAAAAGAAAUAUUUGAUCAAGAUAUUAAAAAACAAUACGAAUCGCUUGAUGAUAACAAUAACGAUGAUUUUUUAUGUGAAAGUACCUUUUAUUCUAACAAUGUAAUGAAUAAAAAAAAAGAAAAACAAAAAAAUUUUAAUUAUUUUUUAUGUAAAAAAGACGAUACUUCUUUUAAUGAUAGUGAUAUUUCUACUAGAAAAAAGAGCGCAGAAAGUGAAUAUAUAAAAAUUGGUAGUAAUAGUAACACUUGUGUUAAUCAUAAACUUAAUAGUAACGCUAUUCAUAGUAACGCUACUUAUAGUAAUAGUACUCAUAAUAACGCUACUUAUAGUAAUAGUACUCAUAAUAACGGUACUCGUAAUAACGCUACCCAUAAUAACGGUACUCGUAAUAACGCUACCCAUAAUAACGGUACCCAUAGUAACACGGGCAACAGAACUGAUCAAACAAAUCAGGUUGUAGAAGACUACAUGAACAAAGAAGAAAAUAAUACGGUAAAUAACUUUUUAGAGUUCGAAAACAACAUGUAUGAAAAGAAAAAAAAAAUGAACUACUCUCACAACUUAACUAACAACGAUAUUAUGUAUUAUAAUGACAAUAUAAAAAUAAAUAACAAAUUUAACAGUAAUAAUAAAAAUAAAUUGAAGUUAAAUAUAAAUAGUAUGGAUGGUGGUAGUGUAAGUGUAAGUGGUAGUGGUAGUGGUAGUAGUAUAGGUAAAAUAAGUACGCGUUUAAAUAGUGAUUAUGGUAAUAAUGAUAGAGAUAGUAGGCAUAUAAGUACUGAUACGAGAUAUAUAAAUAGUAGUUGUAGUAAGCAUAUUAGUAUUAAUCCUGACAUUUGUAUGGAUAACAGUGGUAAUAGUAGUAGUAGUAAUAUGGAUAAUAAUGAUGGGAAUAUAAAAAAUUAUUGUAAUAUAAAAAAUUUGAAUAAUGUAAAAACACACAGUAGUACAAAAAAUGGAAUAAACAGUUUGCAGAAUUUAGAAAAUACAAAUUAUAAUAACAUAAAUUAUUCACAUAAACAUGACACUUUUUUUAGCAAAAGUAAUUUAAACAGCUAUAGUGAAAGAAAUUCAAGUAAUAAGAGAUUAGGACUCGGUUGCAGUUUAAAAAAAAAUAGUAAUUUAAAAUAUGACCGUAGUACUACUAGUAGUAUUAAUAAUAAUAAUAUGAAUAAUAAUAUGAAUAAUGAUAUGAAUAAUAAUAUGAAUAAUGAUAUGAAUAAUAAUAUGAAUAAUGAUACUAUUGAUGAUGACCAUGUUAUGUUUAGUGAGCUAGCUAAAAAGUCAAUGGAUAUAAAUGAUAAAUGUAUUAAUAAUAAUACAAAAAUAAAAAUAAAAAGAUUAUGUGAAAAAAUCGAAGGGUUUGAAAAAGAAAUUAAAAAUGAAAUUAUACAAAAAAAAAAUAUCGAAAAAGAAAAAAUAUACAUAAUCAGAGAAGCUAUAACGAAAUUAGAAAAAAAUUUAAAUAAUGAAAUAAAAAAAAGAAUAGAACAUAACCGAAACAUACAAAAUAUUUUUUCAUCAGAACUGUUAAAAGUACAAGAAAAAAUAGAAAAUGUUGUGAAUGAUAAAGUGCUACAAAUUGAAGGAGCUAUAAAAAUAUUAAAUGACAAAGUUAAUAAUAUUAGUGUUAAUUUUGAAAACGAAAAGAUUAAAUGUAUACAGAAUUUGGAAAAAAAAAAAAAUAGCAUUGCAAAAGAUUUUUCAACUU
ensembl:lncRNA